AAAAGAUUCUGGUGCCUCAUCUGACAUCCUUCUGGGUUCCGCUCCGUCCAGGAUACCCAGCUAAACUAUGUUUCCCAGCUACCCUUGCAGCUAUGUUGGCCAUGUACCUGAGUUCCAGUCAAAAGAGUGUGAACAGAAUUGAGCAGCACCACUUCCAGGUACUGAGCAGAGAAAGAAGUCAACAGAUCAGGCCCUAUGGGGAGUCAGCAC